rnacentral:rRNA from 1 species
GCAGCAGCCGCGGGAAUACGGAGGGUGCAAGCGUUAAUCGGAAUUACUGGGCGUAAAGCGCACACAGGCGGUCUGUCAAGUCAGAUGUGAAAUCCCCGGGCUUAACCUGGGAACUGCAUUUGAAACUGGCAGGCUAGAGUCUUGUAGAGGGGGGUAGAAUUCCAGGUGUAGCGGUGAAAUGCGUAGAGAUCUGGAGGAAUACCGGUGGCGAAGGCAGCCCCCUGGGCCAACACUGACGCUCAUGCACGAAAGCGUGGGGAGCAAACAGGAUUAGAUACCCCUGUAGUCCCUGUCUCUUAUAC